GACGAACGCUGGCGGCGUGCUUAACACAUGCAAGUCGAACGGAAAGGCCCUGCUUUUGUGGGGUGCUCGAGUGGCGAACGGGUGAGUAACACGUGAGUAACCUGCCCUUGACUUUGGGAUAACUUCAGGAAACUGGGGCUAAUACCGGAUAGGAGCUCCUGCUGCAUGGUGGGGGUUGGAAAGUUUCGGCGGUUGGGGAUGGACUCGCGGCUUAUCAGCUUGUUGGUGGGGUAAUGGCUUACCAAGGCUUUGACGGGUAGCCGGCCUGAGAGGGUGACCGGCCACAUUGGGACUGAGAUACGGCCCAGACUCCUACGGGAGGCAGCAGUGGGGAAUAUUGCACAAUGGGCGGAAGCCUGAUGCAGCAACGCCGCGUGCGGGAUGACGGCCUUCGGGUUGUAAACCGCUUUCGCCUGUGACGAAGCGUGAGUGACGGUAAUGGGUAAAGAAGCACCGGCUAACUACGUGCCAGCAGCCGCGGUGAUACGUAGGGUGCGAGCGUUGUCCGGAUUUAUUGGGCGUAAAGGGCUCGUAGGUGGUUGAUCGCGUCGGAAGUGUAAUCUUGGGGCUUAACCCUGAGCGUGCUUUCGAUACGGGUUGACUUGAGGAAGGUAGGAGAGAAUGGAAUUCCUGGUGGAGCGGUGGAAUGCGCAGAUAUCAGGAGGAACACCAGUGGCGAAGGCGGUUCUCUGGGCCUUUCCUGACGCUGAGGAGCGAAAGCGUGGGGAGCGAACAGGCUUAGAUACCCUGGUAGUCCACGCUGUAAACGGUGGGUACUAGGUGUGGGGUCCAUUCCACGGGUUCCGUGCCGUAGCUAACGCUUUAAGUACCCCGCCUGGGGAGUACGGCCGCAAGGCUAAAACUCAAAGGAAUUGACGGGGCCCCGCACAAGCGGCGGAGCAUGCGGAUUAAUUCGAUGCAACGCGUAGAACCUUACCUGGGUUUGACAUGGAUCGGGAGUGCUCAGAGAUGGGUGUGCCUCUUUUGGGGUCGGUUCACAGGUGGUGCAUGCCUGUCGUCAGCUCGUGUCGUGAGAUGUUGGGUUAAGUCCCGCAACGAGCGCAACCCUUGUUCACUGUUGCCAGCACGUUAUGGUGGGGACUCAGUGGAGACCGCCGGGGUCAACUCGGAGGAAGGUGGGGAUGACGUCAAGUCAUCAUGCCCCUUAUGUCCAGGGCUUCACGCAUGCUACAAUGGCUGGUACAGAGAGUGGCGAGCCUGUGAGGGUGAGCGAAUCUCGGAAAGCCGGUCUCAGUUCGGAUUGGGGUCUGCAACUCGACCUCAUGAAGUCGGAGUCGCUAGUAAUCGCAGAUCAGCAACGCUGCGGUGAAUACGUUCCCGGGGCU
rnacentral:rRNA from 1 species